CGAUGAACCACCUUCGGGUGGGGAUUAGUGGCGAACGGGUGAGUAACACGUGGGCAAUCUGCCCUGCACUCUGGGACAAGCCCUGGAAACGGGGUCUAAUACCGGAUACUGACCCGCCUGGGCAUCCAGGCGGUUCGAAAGCUCCGGCGGUGCAGGAUGAGCCCGCGGCCUAUCAGCUUGUUGGUGAGGUAACGGCUCACCAAGGCGACGACGGGUAGCCGGCCUGAGAGGGCGACCGGCCACACUGGGACUGAGACACGGCCCAGACUCCUACGGGAGGCAGCAGUGGGGAAUAUUGCACAAUGGGCGCAAGCCUGAUGCAGCGACGCCGCGUGAGGGAUGACGGCCUUCGGGUUGUAAACCUCUUUCAGCAGGGAAGAAGCGCAAGUGACGGUACCUGCAGAAGAAGCGCCGGCUAACUACGUGCCAGCAGCCGCGGUAAUACGUAGGGCGCGAGCGUUGUCCGGAAUUAUUGGGCGUAAAGAGCUCGUAGGCGGCUUGUCGCGUCGGUUGUGAAAGCCCGGGGCUUAACCCCGGGUCUGCAGUCGAUACGGGCAGGCUAGAGUUCGGUAGGGGAGAUCGGAAUUCCUGGUGUAGCGGUGAAAUGCGCAGAUAUCAGGAGGAACACCGGUGGCGAAGGCGGAUCUCUGGGCCGAUACUGACGCUGAGGAGCGAAAGCGUGGGGAGCGAACAGGAUUAGAUACCCUGGUAGUCCACGCCGUAAACGGUGGGCACUAGGUGUGGGCGACAUUCCACGUCGUCCGUGCCGCAGCUAACGCAUUAAGUGCCCCGCCUGGGGAGUACG
rnacentral:rRNA from 1 species